GGACCAAAUUUGACUCGAGAAAUCCGUGCAACACUUAUUGACCAUGUUAUCAACCAUGGACUGACACUGAUGGAAGCUGGACAAAGAGUUCAACCAAAUCUCAGCAGAAAUACUGUUGCGUCAGUAAUUCGGACAUUUCAUCGAGAAAACAGGAUUGAGGGUCGAGGACACCAAGGUGGAAGGGGCCCUAUGUUUAGUCGUGCACAAGAGGCCGCCAUUGUGAACAUGGUUUUGGCCAAUAAUUGUAUCAGGCUACGAGAAAUCCAAGCCAAUAUCAUCAAUGAUGACAAUAUUUUCAAUAACAUCCAACGAGUCUCUCUGUCAACAUUAGGUCGAAUCCUAAAGAAAAAUCAAAUAUACAUGAAGCAACUGUAUCGGGUACCAUUUGACAGAAAUUCAGAGAGAGUGAAACAUCUGCGCAAUGAGUAUGUGGAGAGAGUCUUGCAAAUGGAUGCUGCUGAAAUUCAACAUGAAUUUAUAUAUGUGGAUGAGGCUGGAUUUAAC